rnacentral:rRNA from 1 species
UGGUGGAGUGAUUUGUCUGGUUAAUUCCGUUAACGAACGAGACCUCAGCCUACUAAAUAGUUAUGCGGAUCUUUCUGCCAAGGUGGCGCUGGCGUGUGCCGUUCGGGCAUGCCUGGCGGUGCACUUGGCUGGCGUGCCUAGUCAGAUCCGUAGACAACUUCUUAGAGGGACUAAUGGUGUUCAGCCAUUGGAAGUUUGAGGCAAUAACA